AUGCUUGCUUCGACAGCACAUAUAGUGAAAUUAGAACAAUGCAGAGAUUAAUGUGGCCCCUGCCCAGGGACAACAUACAAAUUCAUGAAUUAUUCCAUAUUUAC